AUGGCUGUCGUCAGCUCGUGUCGUGAGAUGUUGGGUUAAGUCCCGCAACGAGCGCAACCCUUGUCCUAUGUUGCCAGCGGGUAAUGCCGGGGACUCGUAGGAGACUGCCGGGGUCAACUCGGAGGAAGGUGGGGACGACGUCAAGUCAUCAUGCCCCUUACGUCCAGGGCUGCACACAUGCUACAAUGGCCGGUACAGAGGGCUGCUAUCCCGCGAGGGUGAGCGAAUCCCAAAAAGCCGGUCUCAGUUCGGAUUGCAGUCUGCAACUCGACUGCAUGAAGUCGGAGUCGCUAGUAAUCCCGGAUCAGCAACGCCGGGGUGAAUACGUUCCCGGGCCUUGUACACACCGCCCGUCACACCACGAAAGUUGGUAACACCCGAAGCCGGUGGCCUAACCCUCGGGAGGGAGCCGUCGAAGGUGGGAUCAGCGAUUGGGGUGAAGUCGUAACAAGGUAGCCGUACCGGAAGGUGCGGCUGGAUCACCUCCUUUCUAAGGAGCUCACUGCCUGGAAUUAUCACAAUUCCAGGAACUCCUACGUCGAUCACUGGUCAGCUGGCAUUCGGCCAAUUCCGACCCCGCUCAGCCUCGUGCUGAACGGCACCACCGGGACCCGGAUUGCCGGCGUGCGCGUCACUGUUCCGUUUUGAGGGAGCGGUCGCUCGGGCUUCUCGCCCGGAGGCUGCUACCUCGAGGCCAGAUCCGCCCCCGCCGCCCCGCAUUGCGGGGCUGGCGCGCGGACGACUUCAACGCCCCUUGAGAACCGCAGAGCGAGCACGAGCAUCUAGCAAACAGUGCAAGACGAAAAUCCCAAGCUAUAAAGAGCCAACGGUGGAUGCCUUGGCGCCAGAUGCCGAUGAAGGACGUGGGUGGCUGCGAAAAGCCACGGUGAGCUGCCGACCAAGCAUUGACCCGUGGAUCUCCGAAUGGGGAAACCCGG
rnacentral:sRNA from 1 species